CUAGGGGAGGCAGCAGUGGGGAAUAUUGGACAAUGGGCGAAAGCCUGAUCCAGCCAUGCCGCGUGUGUGAAGAAGGCCUUCGGGUUGUAAAGCACUUUCAGUGGGGAAGAAAGCCUUGGGGCUAAUACCCUCGAGGAAGGACAUCACCCACAGAAGAAGCACCGGCUAACUCCGUGCCAGCAGCCGCGGUAAUACGGAGGGUGCGAGCGUUAAUCGGAAUUACUGGGCGUAAAGCGCGCGUAGGCGGUCUGAUAAGCCGGUUGUGAAAGCCCCGGGCUCAACCUGGGAACGGCAUCCGGAACUGUCAGGCUAGAGUGCAGGAGAGGAAGGUAGAAUUCCCGGUGUAGCGGUGAAAUGCGUAGAGAUCGGGAGGAAUACCAGUGGCGAAGGCGGCCUUCUGGACUGACACUGACGCUGAGGUGCGAAAGCGUGGGUAGCAAACAGGAUUAGAUACCCCUGUAGUC
rnacentral:rRNA from 1 species